UACGUAGGGUCCGAGCGUUGUCCGGAAUUAUUGGGCGUAAAGGGCUCGUAGGCGGUUUGUCGCGUCGGGAGUGAAAUCCACUGGCUUAACUGGUGGCUUGCUUUCGAUACGGGCAGACUGGAGGUAUGCAGGGGAGAACGGAAUUCCUGGUGUAGCGGUGAAAUGCGCAGAUAUCAGGAGGAACACCGGUGGCGAAGGCGGUUCUCUGGGCAUGUCCUGACGCUCAGGGGCGAAAGCGUGGGGAGCAAACCGG
rnacentral:rRNA from 1 species